GCAUAUCAAUAAGCGGAGGAAAAGAAAAUAACAAUGAUUUCCCCAGUAACGGCGAGUGAAGAGGAAAGAGCUCAAAGUUGGAACCUGCUUGGCUUAGCCAAGCCGGAUUGUAAACUGUAGAAGUGUUUUCCUGACACGCCAGGCAAAAAAGUCCUUUGGAACAGGGCAUCAUAGAGGGUGAGAAUCCCGUCUUUGGCCUGAGCAGUUGUCUUUUGCGAUACACUUUCAAAGAGUCAGGUUGUUUGGGAAUGCAGCCUAAAUUGGGUGGUAAAUCUCACCUAAAGCUAAAUAUUGGCGAGAGACCGAUAGCGAACAAGUACCGUGAGGGAAAGAUGAAAAGAACUUUGAAAAGAGAGUUAAACAGUAUGUGAAAUUGUUAAAAGGGAACCGUUUGGAGCCAGACUGGCUUGGCUGUAAUCAAUCUGGGCUUUUGCCCGGAUGCACUUGCGGCCUAUGCCUGCCAACGACAGUUUUAUUUGGGGGAAAAAACCAGGCGGAAUGUGGCCCCUUUGGGGGUGUUAUAGCCUCUUGGAAAAUACCCUGGAUUGGACUGAGGAUCGCAGCGAAUGCCAUUAGGCGAGAUUGCGGCGUGCUUUCGCUGAUAAAUGCUAGAAUUUCUGCUUCGGGUGGUGCUAGUGUUUAAAGGUGGAACCCGCGCUGUAUAUUUUUUAUUCGCUUAGGUUGUUGGCUUAAUGACUCUAAAUGACCCGUCUUGAAACACGGACC
rnacentral:rRNA from 2 species